CCAUAGACUACAGCUGCUACUUUGCUGACGAGAGCGGGACGCGUGAGUAAAGCUUGUGUAUCUGCCCCCACGAGGGGGAGAUACGCGGGAAACGACGGGUAAAACCGCGUACACCCUACAGGGGAAAGAAGGGGACCUCUGGGCCUUGUGCGAUUGUGUGAGACCCCGUGAGAUUAUAUGUGUGUGGAGGGAAAGGGUCACCACGGGGACAAUCUCUAUCUGUGCUGAGAGGAUGACCACCCACACUGUGACUGAGACACGCGCCCCACUCCUACGCGAGGCAGCAGAGGGGAAUAUUGCGCAAUGGGGGAAACCCUGAUGCACCCAUGCCGCGUGUGUGAAAAAAGCCUUCUCGUUGUAAAGCACUUUCUGUGGGGAGAAAAGGGGAGAGGGGAAUACCCCCUUUCUGUGACGUUACCCCCAGAAAAAACACCGCGUAUAUCCGCGCCACCAGCCGCGCGAAUACAGAGAGUGCGAGCGUUAAUCGCAAUGAGUGUGCGUAUAGCGCACGCACGCGGGCUGUUAAGCCACAUGUGAGAGCCCCGCGCUCUCACUGUGAACUGUGUUUGUGACUGUGAGGCUAUAGACUUGGAGAGAGGGGUAGAAUUUCCGGUGUAUAGCGGAAAUGCGUAGAGAUCGCAAGGAAUACCACUGUGGAAAGCGGGCCCCUGUGCACAGACUGAGACUCAGAUGCGAAAGAGUGUGGAGCACACAGAAUUAUAUACACUGUGAGACCACACUGUAAACGAUGUGACUUGGAGACUGUGUCUCUUGAGAGCGCGUUCCGCAGCUAUCGCGUGAUAUUGACCGCCUGUGGAGUACGCGCGCACGGUAUAACUCUCAUGAGAUGACGCGGGCCCGCACAAGAGCGGGAGCAUGUGUGUUAUUUCUAUGCACGCGAAAACUCUUCCUACACUUGUCAUAUAAGAAAUUUCAGA
rnacentral:rRNA from 2 species